AUGGAAAAAUGUAGGCAAGGGAAGUCGGCAAAACGGAUCCGUAACUUCGGGAAAAGGAUUGGCUCUGAGGACUGGGCUCGGGGGUCCCGGCCCCGAACCCGUCGGCUGUCGGCGGAUUGCUCGAGCUGCUCACGCGGCGAGGGCGGGUCGCCGCGUGCCGGCCGGGGGACGGACCGGGAAUCGCCCCUUCGGGGGCUUUCCCCGAGCAUGAAACAGUCGACUCAGAACUGGUACGGACAAGGGGAAUCCGACUGUUUAAUUAAAACAAAGCAUUGCGGUUGUCCUCGCGGAUGCUGA
rnacentral:rRNA from 1 species